GGGACUUGGAAUGAUAAUAGCGCUGUCUAGAGCAGACUAAAGCAACUUACUGUUUCUUCUAGAACAACUGAAAGUAGAAAUUCCAAAUCACAUCAUUUGUUCAGUAUGGUUCAAGCACAUUAAUAGAAUCCUAAAUUAUUGAUUCACGGCUGCAUGCAGAUGCACUGAUGGAGCUUGCGGCCAUGCUUAUCAAGGUUGACUGACAGUUUGUUGAAACUCUUAGAUAUACAAUCACAACAAAGACUAUUAAUAGAUUAAUGAUAAUUGAUAGUAAUUGGGCAAUCACACUAUUGUGUAGUUAGUUGUGAUGACAACAACUCAUACAAGGCACUGAUUAGUAAAAGAACGUUAUACAUUUUUCAUGUUUACAAAUGAGAUUGAUGUUCUUUCUCAUACUGUGGCAGCAAUAUAGGUCAGAAGUAUGUUGUAGUCAUUAUUAAUUAUUGCUUUUGCUGUACAAAAUGGAUGUGGACAUGGCAAAA